rnacentral:rRNA from 1 species
GGGUCAGUGGGUUGGUCGUGCCACCGGUACGUACUGGUCUCACUGAUUCCUCCUUCCUGAAGAACCGUAAUGCCAUUAAUUUGGUGUUGCGGGGAAACAGGACUGUUACUUUGAAAAAAUUAGAGUGUUUAAGGCAAGCUAACGCUUGAAUACAUUAGCAUGGAAUAAUGAAAUAGGACGAUCGAUCCUAUUUUGUUGGUUUCUAGGAUUGACGUA